GAGUGUCUAGUUUAAUUUUUUAUAAAACAUUAGAUUGUCAAGUUAAAGAUACUUUUAAUAAGUGAUACUCU
rnacentral:tRNA from 1 species